GGAGCUCCUCGAUGAACUGCUGCAGGCGCACUUUCGCGCUCGCCUCCCGUGCUGCCGUCUCCUGCAGGAACUGAUCGAUUUGUGCCACCUCUCUGCACAAAGCAAUGACAGCAAAUGAGAGGGUGAGAUAGCAUUCUGCAAAUCCCAGAAGGAGUGCGGCCUCCGUUAUCUCUGCUUACAAACAGCAGCCUGUGCCACUGUUUACAACAUGGCCUCAACCAUUAUCAGCACCUUAUGCACAAAGAGUGACACAUGCAAUCUUUGGUGUUGAUGAACACAUGAACACUUUUUCCACAUUUCAUGAAUUUCAGUAGUUUUGCCUGAGCAGUUGCCCGUUUUUUUCAGUUUUUCCUCAAUAGAGGACACUCCAUGUUUUCUGACUGUUUGUAAAAUGAAGCCUUUCCUGUCUGUCUUCAGGCAAAGACAUCUUGAUCAGUGAUUGAGAUUACAAGUGACAUUUGAGUAAACCAGAAUGAAAGUGUACGCAACUUUCAUAUCGCCAUGUAAAUAAACUAUCACAGAUAUGA